GACGAACGCUGGCGGCGUGCUUAACACAUGCAAGUCGAACGGAAAGGCCCUGCUUGCAGGGUACUCGAGUGGCGAACGGGUGAGUAACACGUGGGUGAUCUGCCCUGCACUUCGGGAUAAGCCUGGGAAACUGGGUCUAAUACCGGAUAGGAGCCAUUUUUAGUGUGAUGGUUGGAAAGUUUUUUCGGUGUAGGAUGAGCUCGCGGCCUAUCAGCUUGUUGGUGGGGUAAUGGCCUACCAAGGCGGCGACGGGUAGCCGGCCUGAGAGGGUGGACGGCCACAUUGGGACUGAGAUACGGCCCAGACUCCUACGGGAGGCAGCAGUGGGGAAUAUUGCACAAUGGGCGCAAGCCUGAUGCAGCGACGCCGCGUGGGGGAUGACGGCCUUCGGGUUGUAAACUCCUUUCGCUAGGGACGAAGCUUUUUGUGACGGUACCUAG
rnacentral:rRNA from 1 species